GAACUGCGAUAAGUAAUGUGAAUUGCAGAAUUCAGUGAAUCAUCGAGUCUUUGAACGCACAUUGCGCCCCCUGGCAUUCCGGGGGGCAUGCCUGUCCGAGCGUCAUUGCUGCCCUUCAAGCCCGGCUUGUGUGUUGGCUCGUCGUCCCCUCCGGGGGACGGGCCCGAAAGGCAGCGGCGGCACCGCGUCCGGUCCUCGAGCGUAUGGGGCUUUGUCACCCGCUCGAUAAGGACCGGCCGGGCGCCAGCCGGCGUCUCCAACCUUUUUUUCUCAGGUUGACCUCGGAUCAGGUAGGGAUACCCGCUGAACUUAAGC
rnacentral:misc_RNA from 1 species